UACGUAGGGGGCAAGCGUUGUCCGGAUUUAUUGGGCGUAAAGAGCGCGUAGGCGGCUUUGUAAGUCCGUUGUGAAAACUCGAGGCUCAACCUCGAGACGCCGGUGGAAACUGCAAAGCUAGAGUCCGGAAGAGGAGAGUGGAAUUCCUGGUGUAGCGGUGAAAUGCUCAGAUAUCAGGAAGAACACCCGUGGCGAAGGCGGCUCUCUGGGACGGUACUGACGCUGAGGUGCGAAAGCGUGGGGAGCAAACAGG
rnacentral:rRNA from 1 species